UACGUAGGGCGCAAGCGUUGUCCGGAAUUAUUGGGCGUAAAGAGCUCGUAGGCGGUCUGUUACGUCUGCUGUGAAAACCCAGGGCUUAACCCUGGGCUUGCAGUGGAUACGGGCAGACUAGAGGCAGGUAGGGGAGAAUGGAAUUCCCGGUGUAGCGGUGAAAUGCGCAGAUAUCGGGAGGAACACCGGUGGCGAAGGCGGUCUCUGGGACGGUACUGACACUGAGACGCGAAAGCGUGGGGAGCGAACAGG
rnacentral:rRNA from 1 species